GUAAAUGAUGAUAGUUUAUUGUCGCCCCAGUCUUACUUGCAUAUCUUGAUGCAAAGGUGGUGAUUGACAUACUUAUAUCUGAUGC
rfam:Vitis vinifera, whole genome shotgun sequence of line PN40024, unoriented chromosome 10, chr10